UUGAACGCUGGCGGCAGGCCUAACACAUGCAAGUCGAACGGUAACAGGAAACAGCUUGCUGUUUCGCUGACGAGUGGCGGACGGGUGAGUAAUGUCUGGGAAACUGCCUGAUGGAGGGGGAUAACUACUGGAAACGGUAGCUAAUACCGCAUAACGUCGCAAGACCAAAGAGGGGGACCUUCGGGCCUCUUGCCAUCGGAUGUGCCCAGAUGGGAUUAGCUAGUAGGUGGGGUAACGGCUCACCUAGGCGACGAUCCCUAGCUGGUCUGAGAGGAUGACCAGCCACACUGGAACUGAGACACGGUCCAGACUCCUACGGGAGGCAGCAGUGGGGAAUAUUGCACAAUGGGCGCAAGCCUGAUGCAGCCAUGCCGCGUGUAUGAAGAAGGCCUUCGGGUUGUAAAGUACUUUCAGCGGGGAGGAAGGGAGUAAAGUUAAUACCUUUGCUCAUUGACGUUACCCGCAGAAGAAGCACCGGCUAACUCCGUGCCAGCAGCCGCGGUAAUACGGAGGGUGCAAGCGUUAAUCGGAAUUACUGGGCGUAAAGCGCACGCAGGCGGUUUGUUAAGUCAGAUGUGAAAUCCCCGGGCUCAACCUGGGAACUGCAUCUGAUACUGGCAAGCUUGAGUCUCGUAGAGGGGGGUAGAAUUCCAGGUGUAGCGGUGAAAUGCGUAGAGAUCUGGAGGAAUACCGGUGGCGAAGGCGGCCCCCUGGACGAAGACUGACGCUCAGGUGCGAAAGCGUGGGGAGCAAACAGGAUUAGAUACCCUGGUAGUCCACGCCGUAAACGAUGUCGACUUGGAGGUUGUGCCCUUGAGGCGUGGCUUCCGGAGCUAACGCGUUAAGUCGACCGCCUGGGGAGUACGGCCGCAAGGUUAAAACUCAAAUGAAUUGACGGGGGCCCGCACAAGCGGUGGAGCAUGUGGUUUAAUUCGACGCAACGCGAAGAACCUUACCUGGUCUUGACAUCCACGGAAGUUUUCAGAGAUGAGAAUGUGCCUUCGGGAACCGUGAGACAGGUGCUGCAUGGCUGUCGUCAGCUCGUGUUGUGAAAUGUUGGGUUAAGUCCCGCAACGAGCGCAACCCUUAUCCUUUGUUGCCAGCGGUCCGGCCGGGAACUCAAAGGAGACUGCCAGUGAUAAACUGGAGGAAGGUGGGGAUGACGUCAAGUCAUCAUGGCCCUUACGACCAGGGCUACACACGUGCUACAAUGGCGCAUACAAAGAGAAGCGACCUCGCGAGAGCAAGCGGACCUCAUAAAGUGCGUCGUAGUCCGGAUUGGAGUCUGCAACUCGACUCCAUGAAGUCGGAAUCGCUAGUAAUCGUGGAUCAGAAUGCCACGGUGAAUACGUUUCCGGGCCUUGUACACACCGCCCGUCACACCAUGGGAGUGGGUUGCAAAAGAAGUAGGUAGCUUAACCUUCGGGAGGGCGCUUACCACUUUGUGAUUCAUGACUGGGGUG
rnacentral:rRNA from 1 species